UACGUAGGUGGCAAGCGUUGUCCGGAUUUAUUGGGCGUAAAGCGAGUGCAGGCGGUUCAAUAAGUCUGAUGUGAAAGCCUUCGGCUCAACCGGAGAAUUGCAUCAGAAACUGUUGAACUUGAGUGCAGAAGAGGAGAGUGGAACUCCAUGUGUAGCGGUGGAAUGCGUAGAUAUAUGGAAGAACACCAGUGGCGAAGGCGGCUCUCUGGUCUGCAACUGACGCUGAGGCUCGAAAGCAUGGGUAG
rnacentral:rRNA from 1 species